CUCUGAAACCUACAAUUUAAUAAUAAGUCUAAGGCCUCAUUCAUAGAGAUUUAUAACUCAAAGGAAAAUAAAAUCUACCCAGUGGGAAACAGAAGUUUGGAGUAGCUCCUAAUUGUUGUGGAACAAGGAAACAUAACUAUUGAACAUGCAUACAUAUUUUAACAAUUUUGAAGUAAAAUGAUUGCAUCGUAUGUAUCGCA